rnacentral:rRNA from 1 species
AGUCGAACGGCAGCACGGACUUCGGUCUGGUGGCGAGUGGCGAACGGGUGAGUAAUGUAUCGGAACGUGCCUAGUAGCGGGGGAUAACUACGCGAAAGCGUAGCUAUAAUAUCGCCACAAUUCUUCUUCGGGGGAAAGCGGGGGACCUUCGGGCCUCGCACUAUUAGAGCGGCCAGAUAUCGGAUUAGCCAUUGUGUGUAACGGCUCACCAAGGCGACGAUCCGUAGCUGGUUUGAGGACGACCAGCCACACUGGGACUGAGACACGGCCCAGACUCCUACGGAGGCAGCAGUGGGGAAUUUUGGACAAUGGGGAAACCCUGAUCCAGCCAUCCUGCGUGCGAUGAAGGCCUUCGGGUUGUAAAGCACUUUUGGCAGGAAAGAAACGGCACGGGAUAAUACCCCGUGCAACUGACGGUACCUGCAGAACAAGCACCGGCUAACUACGUGCCAGCAGCCGCGGUAAUACGUAGGGUGCAAGCGUUAAUCGGAAUUACUGGGCGUAAAGCGUGCGGCAGGUUCGGAAAGAAAGAUGUGGAAAUCCCAGAGCUUAACUUUGGAACUGCAUUUUUAACUACCGAGCUAGAGUGUGUCAGAGGGAGGUGGAAUUCCGCGUGUAGCAGUGAAAUGUAGAUAUGCGGAGGAACACCGAUGGCGAAGGCAGCCUCCUGGGAUAACACUGACGCCUGCGCACGAAAGCGUGGGGAGCAAACAGGAUUAGAUACCCUGGUAAAUACGCCCUAAACGAUGUCAACUAGCUGUUGGGGCCUUCUGGCCUUGGUAGCGGCAGUUAUAACGCGUGAAGUUGACCGCCUGGGGAGUACGGUCGCAAGAUUAAAACUCAAAGGAAUUGAUGACCCGCACAAGCGGUGGACAUGGAUUAAUUCGAUGCAACGCGAAAAACCUUACCUACCCUUUGACAUGUCUGGAAUCCCGAAGAGAUUUGGGAGUGCUCGCAAGAGAACCGGAACACAGGUGCUGCAUAGCUGUCGUCAGCUCGUGUCGAGAUGUUGGGUUAAGUCCCGCAACGAGCGGCAACCCUUGUCAUUAGUUGCUACGAAAGGGCACUCUAAUGAGACUGCCGGUGACAAACCGGAGGAAGGUGGGAUGUCAAGUCCUCAUGGCCCUUAUGGGUAGGGCUUCACACGUCAUACAAUGGUCGGGACAGAGGGUCGCCAACCCGCGAGGGGGAGCCAAUCCCAGAAACCGAUCGUAGUCCGGAUCGCAGUCUGCAACUCGACUGCGUGAAGUCGGAAUCGCUAGUAAUCGCGGAUCAGCAUGUCGCGGUGAAUACGUUCCUGGUCUGUACACACCGCCCGUCACACCAUGGGAGUGGGUUUUACCAGAAGUAGUUAGCCUAACCGUAAGGAGGGCGAUUACCACGGUAGGAUUCAUGACUGGGGUGAAGUCGUAACAAGGU